GGGGACGGCUCUCUCCACUUUUUUUCUCUUUUUCCUUCGCCACUUUCGUUACUUUGUAGUUUGUUGCAAUUUAAAGAUGGGGCAUGAAUUUACGAUUGUGUCCUCCGAUCUGGAUUUUUAGGUGGACCGGCCUUAUCAAAUUGUCUCCCUGCGCAGUGCGCCUUACCCACCUUCCUCGUUGGUAGCUCCACCUUCCUCUGCCAUUCUGGAUGAUCUUGUCAAGUUGUAUUCAAUCCUGG
rnacentral:misc_RNA from 1 species